GCUCGAAAUGGUACAGGAUUCUGGCUCACCAUCUCAGCCUUGCCCCUUUGCCGAUGGAGGAUGUUUGUCAACUUGGAAGUGGCUUCUGGAUGGCAUGGAGUCGAAGACACCGGCACGGAGUUGUUUGGAAUUGUGAGGUUGGUGGCGGGUCUACAUUCAGCUUCGUUGCUGUCUCUGAAACCAUGAACUUGCCUUUCAAAACGAGUCAGCAGCUACAAGCCCAGUGGUCGUCUUGUGUUUCUUGGCGACGUAACCAAGGCUGCUGAAACCGAGCAAGGAGGGCUCAGAAGCGCUGGCUAUUAUUGAGAACAAUCAUCCAGUUUUCCAAGGUCGCCGCUACAAAUGAAAUAAAGCACAGAACGGCUUCAUUUCUUUAACCCGUAUCACCACCGUGAUUUCUUACAGAUUCCGUCGUCAGCUUCCAUGGACGUACACGGAUGCUUCCAGCAGAUGAUUGGGAAUUGGGUGUCUCACUAUGUCGCUAGAACUAGUCAUAGGUGCUGUAUGUUGUCCUUCAGUAAAAUUUCCUUUUCGAAGAGUCUGCCCUAUUGCUUACUGUUGCAAUUUGGGCAAUGGCUUGUUCAAAAUUUGACCAAAAAUGUUCAUUUUGUUUCCGCUAUCAGUUCUUUUACUA